rnacentral:rRNA from 1 species
GUCGAACGCUGGCGGCGUGCUUAACACAUGCAAGUCGAACGCGUGGCGAACGGGUGAGUAAAACGUGGAUAACCCGCCCUCUUGUUGGGAUAAGCCAUGGAGACGGGGUCUAAUACAGAAUAAAGGGGGAUGGGCUCGCGGCCUAUCAGCUUGUUGGUGGGGUGAUGGCCUACCAAGUCGGUGAUGGGUAGCCGGCCUGAGAGGAGGAAGAGCCGAAUUGGGACUGAGACACGGCCCAGACUCCUACGGGAGGCAGACGUGGGGAAACUUCCGCAAUGGACGAAAGUCUGACGGAGCAACGCCGCGUGAGAGAUGACGGCCUUCGGGGUGUAAAGCUCUGUUAAUCGGGACGCGGUACCGGAAUAAGAAGCCACGGCUAACUACGUGCCAGCAGCCGCGGUAAUUC